rnacentral:rRNA from 1 species
UAAGCGUGUAGGCUGGUUUUCCAGGCAAAUCCGGAAAAUCAAGGCUGAGGCGUGAUGACGAGGCACUACGGUGCUGAAGCAACAAAUGCCCUGCUUCCAGGAAAAGCCUCUAAGCAUCAGGUAACAUCAAAUCGUACCCCAAACCGACACAGGUGGUCAGGUAGAGAAUACCAAGGCGCUUGAGAGAACUCGGGUGAAGGAACUAGGCAAAAUGGUGCCGUAACUUCGGGAGAAGGCACGCUGAUAUGUAGGUGAAGUCCCUCGCGGAUGGAGCUGAAAUCAGUCGAAGAUACCAGCUGGCUGCAACUGUUUAUUAAAAACACAGCACUGUGCAAACACGAAAGUGGACGUAUACGGUGUGACGCCUGCCCGGUGCCGGAAGGUUAAUUGAUGGGGUCAGCGCAAGCGAAGCUCUUGAUCGAAGCCCCGGUAAACGGCGGCCGUAACUAUAACGGUCCUAAGGUAGCGAAAUUCCUUGUCGGGUAAGUUCCGACCUGCACGAAUGGCGUAAUGAUGGCCAGGCUGUCUCCACCCGAGACUCAGUGAAAUUGAACUCGCUGUGAAGAUGCAGUGUACCCGCGGCAAGACGGAAAGACCCCGUGAACCUUUACUAUAGCUUGACACUGAACAUUGAGCCUUGAUGUGUAGGAUAGGUGGGAGGCUUAGAAGUGUGGACGCCAGUCUGCAUGGAGCCGACCUUGAAAUACCACCCUUUAAUGUUUGAUGUUCUAACGUUGACCCGUAAUCCGGGUUGCGGACAGUGUCUGGUGGGUAGUUUGACUGGGGCGGUCUCCUCCUAAAGAGUAACGGAGGAGCACGAAGGUUGGCUAAUCCUGGUCGGACAUCAGGAGGUUAGUGCAAUGGCAUAAGCCAGCUUGACUGCGAGCGUGACGGCGCGAGCAGGUGCGAAAGCAGGUCAUAGUGAUCCGGUGGUUCUGAAUGGAAGGGCCAUCGCUCAACGGAUAAAAGGUACUCCGGGGAUAACAGGCUGAUACCGCCCAAGAGUUCAUAUCGACGGCGGUGUUUGGCACCUCGAUGUCGGCUCAUCACAUCCUGGGGCUGAAGUAGGUCCCAAGGGUAUGGCUGUUCGCCAUUUAAAGUGGUACGCGAGCUGGGUUUAGAACGUCGUGAGACAGUUCGGUCCCUAUCUGCCGUGGGCGCUGGAGAACUGAGGGGGGCUGCUCCUAGUACGAGAGGACCGGAGUGGACGCAUCACUGGUGUUCGGGUUGUCAUGCCAAUGGCACUGCCCGGUAGCUAAAUGCGGAAGAGAUAAGUGCUGAAAGCAUCUAAGCACGAAACUUGCC